CAAUAGCGUAUAUUAAAGUUGUUGCAGUUAAAAAGCUCGUAGUUGGAUUUGUGGUUCGUCCCGCCGGCUGGGUCAUUGACUUUUGCUGUGCUGGUCGUCCAUCCUUGGGUGGAAUCUGUGUGGCAUUAGGUUGUCGCGCAGGGGAUGCCCAUCGUUUACUGUGAAAAAAUUAGAGUGUUCAAAGCAGGCUUAUGCCGUUGAAUAUAUUAGCAUGGAAUAAUGAUAUAGGACCUUGGUACUAUUUUGUUGGUUUGCGCACUGAGGUAAUGAUUAAUAGGGACAGUUGGGGGUAUUCGUAUUCCAUUGUAAGAGGUGAAAUUCUUGGAUUCUUGGAAGACGAACUACUGCGAAAGCAUUUACCAAGGAUGUUUUCAUUAA
rnacentral:rRNA from 1 species